CAGAAGUUUCAUUUGUCAGUGUGGGACUGCUGAGUCACCUGAAGAACUCAUUUCAUUCUCCAUGAUGUUCAUUUACAGAAAUGUUUCACAGGAACUGAUUCCUCCCAAAGGGUACAGUACGUGAUAUUAAGGGCAGGCGGUCAUCACUGGGGGAAGAAAAGAAGCAGACGUACUUCCAAGAGGGAGCUGCAGUGAGGACACAGCCUGGUCACUGAGGUCAGAGGAGGCGCUGAAAGGUUUCCCUAAUAGUUCCUGGUGAAUCAAAGCAGAACCAUAAAGGUUGCUGGACUGCAUGAUGGCCUUACCCCUGAGCAGUCAUCCUGUUAAAGGACCAACCAGUUAGAAGCUGUUUUCAAAGUAGCUGAGCAGAUUUCAUCUCAACAGACAAAGCCGAUGGCAGAAGAUGUUUGGAGAAGAACUUCAGGCCGUGGACUGAAAAGAUCAAAGCAGCUCGUGCUCUGUCUGCUUCCAUUCUGAUGG